UCGAUGUCGGCUCAUCACAUCCUGGGGCUGUAGGCGGUCCCAAGGGUUUGGCUGUUCGCCAAUUAAAGUGGUACGCGAGCUGGGUUCAGACCGGCGUGAGCCAGGUCGGUCCCUAUCUGCAACGGGCGAAGGAACCUUGACGGCAACUCUUUCCUAGUACGAGAGGAUUGGAAAGAACGGACCCCUGGUGUACCAGUUGUCGCGCUAGCGGCACCGCUGGGUAGCCAUGUCCGGAACGGAUAAACGCUGAAAGCAUCUAAGCGUGAAGCCAGUGCCAAGAUUUGGGUUCCCUAAGACCCCCGGAAGACUACCGGGUUGAUAGGCCGGAGCUGUAAGCCCAGCAAUGGGUUCAGGUCACCGGUACUAACGGUCGUGCACUUGAUCACAUU
rnacentral:rRNA from 1 species